rnacentral:rRNA from 1 species
GACGAACGCUGGCGGCGUGCUUAACACAUGCAAGUGGAGCGACGAACCGGGCUUCGGCCCGGGGCAAAGCCGCGAACGGGUGAGUAACACGUGGGUGACCUGCCCCGAUGACUGGGACAACCCGGGGAAACCCGGGCUAAUACCGGAUGUGCUCCUUGGCCUACGGGCCUUUGAGGAAAGGUAGCUUCGGCCUCCGCACCGGGAUGGGCCCGCGGCCCAUUAGCUUGUUGGUGGGGGAACGGCCCACCACGGCUGCGAUGGGUAGCUGGUCUGCGAGGACGAUCAGCCACACUGGGAAUGAGACACGGGCCAGACCCCUACGGGAGGCAGGAGGGGGGAAUCUUGCGCAACGCGCGAAAGCGUGACGCAGCAACGCCGCGUGAGGGAAGACGGGCUUCGGGGUGGAAACCUCUUUCAGUUGGGACGAAGAUACGGCCGUUAAUAGCGGAUCGGAGUGACGGUACCUUCAGAAGAAGCCCCGGCUAACUACGUGCCAGCAGCCGCGGUAAUAC